CUUUGGGUGUGACUGCGUACCUUUUGUAUAAUGGGUCAGCGACUUAUAUUCUGUAGCAAGGUUAACCGAAUAGGGGAGCCGGAGGGAAACCGAGUCUUAACCGGGCGUUAAGUUGCAGGGUAUAGACCCGAAACCCGGUGAUCUAGCCAUGGGCAGGUUGAAGGUUGGGUAACACUAACUGGAGGACCGAACCGACUAAUGUUGAAAAAUUAGCGGAUGACCUGUGGCUGGGGGUGAAAGGCCAAUCAAACCGGGAGAUAGCUGGUUCUCCCCGAAAGCUAUUUAGGUAGCGCCUCGUGAAUUCAUCUCCGGGGGUAGAGCACUGUUUCGGCUAGGGGGCCAUCCCGGCUUACCAACCCGAUGCAAACUGCGAAUACCGGAGAAUGUUAUCACGGGAGACACACGGCGGGUGCUAACGUCCGUCGUGAAGAGGGAAACAACCCAGACCGCCAGCUAAGGUCCCAAAGUCAUGGUUAAGUGGGAAACGAUGUGGGAAGGCCCAGACAGCCAGGAUGUUGGCUUAGAAGCAGCCAUCAUUUAAAGAAAGCGUAAUAGCUCACUGGUCGAGUCGGCCUGCGCGGAAGAUGUAACGGGGCUAAACCAUGCACCGAAGCUGCGGCAGCGACACUGUGUGUUGUUGGGUAGGGGAGCGUUCUGUAAGCCUGUGAAGGUGUGUCGUGAGGCAUGCUGGAGGUAUCAGAAGUGCGAAUGCUGACAUAAGUAACGAUAAAGCGGGUGAAAAGCCCGCUCGCCGGAAGACCAAGGGUUCCUGUCCAACGUUAAUCGGGGCAGGGUGAGUCGACCCCUAAGGCGAGGCCGAAAGGCGUAGUCGAUGGGAAACGGGUUAAUAUUCCCGUACUUGGUGUUACUGCGAAGGGGGGACGGAGAAGGCUAUGUUGGCCGGGCGACGGUUGUCCCGGUUUAAGCGUGUAGGUGUGUGUUCCAGGUAAAUCCGGUUCACUUUAACACUGAGGCGUGACGACGAGGCACUACGGUGCUGAAGCAACAAAUGCCCUGCUUCCAGGAAAAGCCUCUAAGCAUCAGGUAACAUCAAAUCGUACCCCAAACCGACACAGGUGGUCAGGUAGAGAAUACCAAGGCGCUUGAGAGAACUCGGGUGAAGGAACUAGGCAAAAUGGUGCCGUAACUUCGGGAGAAGGCACGCUGACACGUAGGUGAAGUGAUUUACUCAUGGAGCUGAAGUCAGUCGAAGAUACCAGCUGGCUGCAACUGUUUAUUAAAAACACAGCACUGUGCAAACACGAAAGUGGACGUAUACGGUGUGACGCCUGCCCGGUGCCGGAAGGUUAAUUGAUGGGGUCAGCGCAAGCGAAGCUCCUGAUCGAAGCCCCGGUAAACGGCGGCCGUAACUAUAACGGUCCUAAGGUAGCGAAAUUCCUUGUCGGGUAAGUUCCGACCUGCACGAAUGGCGUAAUGAUGGCCAGGCUGUCUCCACCCGAGACUCAGUGAAAUUGAACUCGCUGUGAAGAUGCAGUGUACCCGCGGCAAGACGGAAAGACCCCGUGAACCUUUACUAUAGCUUGACACUGAACAUUGAGCCUUGAUGUGUAGGAUAGGUGGGAGGCUUUGAAGUGUGGACGCCAGUCUGCAUGGAGCCGACCUUGAAAUACCACCCUUUAAUGUUUGAUGUUCUAACGUGGACCCGUUACCCGGGUUGCGGACAGUGUCUGGUGGGUAGUUUGACUGGGGCGGUCUCCUCCUAAAGAGUAACGGAGGAGCACGAAGGUUGGCUAAUCCUGGUCGGACAUCAGGAGGUUAGUGCAAUGGCAUAAGCCAGCUUGACUGCGAGCGUGACGGCGCGAGCAGGUGCGAAAGCAGGUCAUAGUGAUCCGGUGGUUCUGAAUGGAAGGGCCAUCGCUCAACGGAUAAAAGGUACUCCGGGGAUAACAGGCUGAUACCGCCCAAGAGUUCAUAUCGACGGCGGUGUUUGGCACCUCGAUGUCGGCUCAUCACAUCCUGGGGCUGAAGUAGGUCCCAAGGGUAUGGCUGUUCGCCAUUUAAAGUGGUACGCGAGCUGGGUUUAGAACGUCGUGAGACAGUUCGGUCCCUAUCUGCCGUGGGCGCUGGAGAACUGAGGGGGGCUGCUCCUAGUACGAGAGGACCGGAGUGGACGCAUCACUGGUGUUCGGGUUGUCAUGCCAAUGGCACUGCCCGGUAGCUAAAUGCGGAAGAGAUAAGUGCUGAAAGCAUCUAAGCACGAAACUUGCCCCGAGAUGAGUUCUCCCUGAGACUUAGAGUCUCCUGAAGGAACGUUGAAGACGACGACGUUGAUAGGCCGGGUGUGUAAGCGCAGCGAUGCGUUGAGCUAACCGGUACUAAUGAACCGUGAGGCUUAACCUUACAACGCCGAAG
rnacentral:rRNA from 1 species